ensembl:lncRNA CHKB-DT CHKB divergent transcript
UGCCCCGUGGGAGCCGGCGGGGCGGCGGGGCGGCGGCUGCAGCUGCAGCUCCGGCGCGAGGGCUCCCUUGCCGGGCCCUCUUCCCCGACCCCUGGGGCGCUCCGACAAGGAAGAGCCGUCCAGCGCGCGUCCGUCCUGAGCGUGGGUGAGGCCUGGAGGAGGCGCGCGCGCUAGGCAGGGCCGCACAGCGCGGGCAGAGUGCGGGAUGCGGGCACCCGGUGGGCCUAGAACCAAUUACAGAGUCAAACCCAAGAGCCGAAGAAAGUGAAGACUCGCAGCUUGCCGCAGCCCCCUCCUCGGCCUGCGCACCUCCCAUUGAGGGCGUCCUGAUUUAAACGCGUGCCUCCUGCAUUUCUGCUUCUGCCCCAGGCUAGAGCGGCGACCAGGAACGCUGGACCCACAGAGAUCUGUGGCAAUGUCUGUCGAACCAUGGUGUUCUUUGGGGCAUCUGACUAGAGUAUUGUUUGAUAACCAGAAAGAAAUCAAAAAUUGGUGAUCACAAGGCUAAUGUCACUUUUGCUGCAGUGGAAAAUCAUGAUCAUUCUGUUUAAAUCUGAGUCAGUUUUGAGACCUAGAGCCCAUUAAUUGACAAGGAGGCUUGGUUCCUCUCAGGAAGGAUCUUACAAUACCAGCAUCUGAGCAUAUACCAAGAAAUAUUCCUCCAAUCCUUCCCUAAAGGGACCUAGAGCCACUUUAAAAAGUAACUGGUCCGGGCGUGGUGGCUCACGCCUGUACUCCCAGCAUUUUGGGAGGCCGAGGCGGGCAGAUCACUUGAGGUCAGGAGUUUGAGACCACCCUGGCCAACAU